rnacentral:rRNA from 1 species
UACGUAGGGUGCGAGCGUUGUCCGGAAUUACUGGGCGUAAAGAGCUCGUAGGUGGUUUGUCGCGUUGUUCGUGAAAACUCACAACUCAAUUGUGGGCGUGCGGGCGAUACGGGCAGACUGGAGUACUGCAGGGGAGACUGGAAUUCCUGGUGUAGCGGUGGAAUGCGCGAUAUCAGGAGGAACACCGGUGGCGAAGGCGGGUCUCUGGGCCGAUACUGACGUGAGGAGCGAAAGCGUGGGGAGCAAACAGG